CCUACGGGUGGCAGCAGUGAGGAAUAUUGGUCAAUGGGCGCAAGCCUGAACCAGCCAAGUCGCGUGAGGGAUGACGGUCCUAUGGAUUGUAAACCUCUUUUGUCGGGGAGCAAGGCCCGCCCCGUGUGGCGGGAAGGAGAGUACCCGAAGAAAAAGCAUCGGCUAACUCCGUGCCAGCAGCCGCGGUCAUACGGAGGAUGCGAGCGUUAUCCGGUUUUAUUGGGGUUAGAGGGUGCGUAGGCAGAAGGUUAAGUGAGCGUGCAAAUUUAGGUGCUCAACCCAGGACUGCCGUUGAAACUGGUCUUCUUGAGUGAGCGAGAAGUAGGCGGAAUGCGUGGUGUAGCGGGGAAAUGCAUAGAUAUCACGCAGAACUCCGAUUGCGAAGGCAGCAUACCGGCGCUCAACUGACGCGGAGGCACGAAAGCGUGGGGAUCGAACAGGAUUAGAUACCCGUGUAGUC
rnacentral:rRNA from 1 species